UGGGGAAUAUUGCACAAUGGGCGAAAGCCUGAUGCAGCAACGCCGCGUGCGGGAUGACGGCCUUCGGGUUGUAAACCGCUUUCAGCAGGGACGAAGGUUUUCUGACGGUACCUGCAGAAGAAGCACCGGCUAACUACGUGCCAGCAGCCGCGGUGAUACGUAGGGUGCGAGCGUUGUCCGGAAUUAUUGGGCGUAAAGAGCUUGUAGGCGGUCCGUUGCGUCGGAAGUGAAAACUCAGGGCUUAACCCUGAGCCUGCUUUCGAUACGGGCGGACUCGAGGGAUGUAGGGGAGAACGGAAUUCCUGGUGGAGCGGUGGAAUGCGCGGAUAUCAGGAGGAACACCAGUGGCGAAGGCGGUUCUCUGGACAUUCCUGACGCUGAGAAGCGAAAGCGUGGGGAGCAAACAGGCUUAGAUACCCUGGUAGUCCACGCCGUAAACGGUGGGCACUAGGUGUGGGACCCAUUCCACGGGUUCCGUGCCGUAGCUAACGCAUUAAGUGCCCC
rnacentral:rRNA from 1 species